GACGAACGCUGGCGGCGUGCUUAACACAUGCAAGUCGAACGCUGAAGCACCAGCUUGCUGGUGUGGAUGAGUGGCGAACGGGUGAGUAAUACGUGAGUAACCUGCCCCUGACUCUGGGAUAAGCCCGGGAAACUGGGUCUAAUACUGGAUGCUACAUGCCACCGCAUGGUGGUGUGUGGAAAGGGUCUACUGGUCUUGGUUGGGCCGCGGCCUUUUCAGCUUUUUGGUGGGGUAACGGCCACCCAAGGCGUGGCCGGGAAGCGGCCUGGAGGGGGGGACGGGCACCCUGGGACUUGGACACGGCCCAGACUCCCACGGGAGGCAACAGUGGGGAAUAUUGCACAAUGGGCGGAAGCCUGAUGCAAGGACGCCGCGGGGGGGAUGACGGCCUUCCGGUUGUAAACCUCCUUCAGCAGGGAAGAAGCCACAAGUGACGGUACCUGCAGAAGAAGCGCCGGCUAACUACGUG
rnacentral:rRNA from 1 species